rnacentral:rRNA from 1 species
UGGGGAAUAUUGCACAAUGGGCGCAAGCCUGAUGCAGCCAUGCCGCGUGUGUGAAGAAGGCCUUCGGGUUGUAAAGCACUUUCAGCGAGGAGGAAGGUGGUGGACUUAAUACGUUCAUCAAUUGACGUUACUCGCAGAAGAAGCACCGGCUAACUCCGUGCCAGCAGCCGCGGUAAUACGGAGGGUGCAAGCGUUAAUCGGAAUUACUGGGCGUAAAGCGCACGCAGGCGGUUUGUUAAGUCAGAUGUGAAAUCCCCGGGCUCAACCUGGGAACUGCAUUUGAAACUGGCAAGCUAGAGUCUCGUAGAGGGGGGUAGAAAUUCCAGGUGUAGCGGUGAAAUGCGUAGAGAUCUGGAGGAAUACCGGUGGCGAAGGCGGCCCCCUGGACGAAGACUGACGCUCAGGUGCGAAAGCGUGGGGAGCAAACAGGAUUAGAUACCCCUGGUAGUCCACGCUGUAAACGAUGUCGAUUUGGAGGUUGUGCCCUUGAGGCGUGG